UGGCCAUGAAACUGGCAAGGAAGUAACAGCUUUCCAGGAAGUGUUAAUGUCUCAGGGUCUCCAAACUCACUUCUAACUAAAAAAGGUCUUACUUUGGGACUGGCUGCACAUGGCUAGUUACAUCACAGCAGGUGGAGUUUGCUCGGUUGUCAUCACCAAAGACCUAAAAUAUGUAACGGCAAGGGGCCAGAGUUAUGGACCAGGAGCCAAGGGACGGCAGGACAAAGAACGAGGGUGCCACCCACAAAUGAAACUCCGAGGAAGACCACGAGAGGCUGCUGAAAUUGCAAAAGAAACUUGUAAUCACAUCUCCGUCCUCCUCUACCCAUUUUAUCUGGGCCGAGGAAUUGGAAGUGUGUAGAGGUAGAUUCAGAACAUCAGAUCUUCCCUUGGUUGUGGAAUUAAAUGGUAAAUAAUGCAUGGCUGGGAGCUUCCCUCUCUCUGAGUUGCAUCUCUUCU